rnacentral:rRNA from 1 species
GUGGGGAAUUUUGGACAAUGGGCGCAAGCCUGAUCCAGCAAUGCCGCGUGCAGGAAGAAGGCCUUCGGGUUGUAAACUGCUUUUGUACGGAACGAAACGGCUCUGGUUAAUACCCGGGGCUAAUGACGGUACCGUAAGAAUAAGCACCGGCUAACUACGUGCCAGCAGCCGCGGUAAUACGUAGGGUGCAAGCGUUAAUCGGAAUUACUGGGCGAAAAGCGUGCGCAGGCGGUUGUGUAAGACAGGCGUGAAAGCCCCGGGCUCAACCUGGGAAUUGCGCUUGUGACUGCACAGCUGGAGUGCGGCAGAGGGGGAAGGAAUUCCGCGUGUAGCAGUGAAAUGCGUAGAUAUGCGGAGGAACACCGAUGGCGAAGGCAAUCCCCUGGGCCUGCACUGACGCUCAUGCACGAAAGCGUGGGGAGCAAACAGGAUUAGAUACCCUUGUAGUCC